ACAUGGACAAAUCACCCAGAGAGCCUUUCAGAGACAUUGGACACCACCAAGAGGGCUUGGGUUGUCAGUCCUUCCUGCUCUGACCAACUGCACCGUGUGUGUGGCUCUGGGGACUUAUAUUUUCAUUCCAGGAGGAUUUUAGGCUUCUGUGCAACCUGCUGUGUCUGUGCUUUGUGCAUUUUGAGCAUAGGGCUUUGAAUCCAUUGUAAUGCUGCAUUCAAGUCAGGUAAAAUCACCUGAAAAAUUCCCUUGUGUGACUGAAGCAACCUGGUAUGGAAAUCAAAAACACCUGUGCUGGAUGAAGCUUGGCCUGUGACUGGAACGUUUUGGAAAGCACAUGUAAAAAUGAACACAGCAGACUCUGUGAGGAGCAGACUUUUAUAGGACAACCUUUCAUUAUCACCAGGCAUAUUCAUAAAAAUAAAGAACUCAUUGACCAGA